UGUGUACUCCCUCCGUCCGGAAAUACUUGUCGGAGGAAUGGAUAAUAAUGGAUGUAUCUAGAUGUGUUUUAUUUCUAGAUACACCCAUUAUUAUUUACUUUUGUGACAAGUAAUUCCGGACGGAGGGAGUAGAAU
rfam:Hordeum vulgare subsp. vulgare, WGS project CAJW01000000 data, contig: morex_contig_118475